CUUUCUGCCCCGCCCCGUCGCCCAUGGGGGGUGCGGUGCGAGGAAGGAGGCGGUGGCGGGGCCGCAGGUCGGGCGAGGCCGGGGCUCUAACAAGGCUCUGGAGAACAGCGUGAGAAUCGACACGACUAGUUGCUCUGCCCACGCCAGCAGCAUGCCCAGGAACCAUAAAUCAGCGAGCUGAAGUCUUUCUUCCAUAUCCAGGAUGUUUUUCACCAGUCUGAUGGGACCUUGUGGGCACAGCCAGGAUCCCGCGACCCGAUCACGCUCUGGCCGGCACUGGGUGAUUUCUCGGGGAGCCCAUUGGCGCCGCGACCCUCGCCGCUCACAAUGACCCCUGGUGAGAGGUAAGGUUCUUUAUUUUCUGGUCUGGGGGCCUGCCAUUAAGACGCAGCGAAAGCUACGCUUAGUUGGGCAAAAGGAAUUCCUGGUGGUAUUGCCUAGGCAGCCGUCCAUCAGACAUCGCGAAAGCGUUGCAGGUUCGGCAUCUGUGGUUUUUAUGUAUCUGUAAUAUGGAGAAACUAAAAGGGUUAAAAGAAGUUUUGGGCAGCAAUAAUGCCUCUAUACCAAGUUCUUCUCCUUUGAGUUGUUUGUUGGCACAUUGGAAAGAGAGGAAUUUUGGUCAGGAAUUACGAAAAGAUAAAUUGAUUGAGUAUUGUAAUGUGAGCUGGCCAAAAUAUGCUCUGCCUGAAAACCAGAGGUGGCCACAGAACAGGUCUUUAGAUGUAAAGGUUAUUAUGCAAUUUAGAUCACUUUGAACACAAGAUGGAAUGGUGGAACAAAUCCCAUACCUUGAUUUAUUUCUAUGCUUGCUCAAGAAACAAGUUUAGUGGGUUGGCAGCAAAAUGGAAGCAGUGAAGCUUGGAAAUAAUAAGUGUCUGGCUUGCAUCCAAAAUAAGCAUUGUAUGCAGCAUGCGGUUUUAAGUGAAACUUUGGGAGGAGGAAGAGAUGAACUGGACCUGGAUUUAUUAGUAGCCCCUAUAGCCCCUGGAUCCACCACAGCCCCCUCGACACCGAGUUCUACCCCGCUCACCCUGACCCCACCUGAUUCUCUUACAUCCCCCUUGCUCACGCCAACACAAUAUGUUUCCCCCCCUACCUUUGUCUGCUAAAGGUAAUUAUCCUCCUCUGCCUAUUCCUGUCCCUCCUCCGCCUGCUCGGGUGCCUGCCCCUGCUCCACCUGCUCAGAGAACCCCCCCUUUUCCACAUAUACCUGCUCAAAGCUAUCCUGCCCCCCUGCCGACGCCUGCUGAAAGAUUUAUUCCUCCUCCAACACCGGUUCAAGGUUACCCUCCGCUCCCACCUACACCUCCUUUGCCAGCUCCUGUCCCAUCCGCCCCCCUGUACCCUCCCCUGCCAGAUUCGCCUGUCCAAGAUGUGAUUGUGAGGCGGAAGCAAAGGGGGGAUGCAGAGAAGACAGAUAGAAUAGAAAGUAGUGACAGUGAAGCAGAUGAGCUAGAUGCCCCAGUAGCUCACCGAACAUGAGGAGAACUGGACCCGGCGUGGCCUAAGGCAGGAAAGCGUAUACUAAAAUCAGGCAAACAAAAGAGAACAAUUAUUGCACCAUUAAGGCAAGGGGUAGGAACUAAUGGACCUGUCUUUGUAAAAGUACCCUUUUCAUCUGCUGAUUUAGUUAUAUGGAAACAAUCAGCUGGAACAUAUAGAGAAAACCUAGAUAAGGUAGCUCGCAUGGUUAAGAUGAUAAUGAAAACUCAGAACCCUGAUUGGGAAGAUAUUCAUGUGAUAUUAGACACUCUGAUGGAUGAGACAGAAAGGGACAUGGUACUUCGGGCAGCGAGAGAAAGAGCUAGAGAAGACAUACGAAAUGGUUUGGUGACAGGGACACUAGAUUACAAUUUUCCCACUGCAGAUCCAGAGUGGGAUGCUAAUGACCCAUCUGGAGUAGAUAUGCUAAGGCUAAAGCGAUAUCAGGAGUGGAUUUCAAUCGGUGUUCAACAAGAAAUACCUAAGAGUAUGAACUGGUCUAAGUUGUAUGAAAUUCGACAGGAAAAGAAAAAAUCUCCCACUGCCUUUCUAGAAAGACUCAAAGAAGCAGCUAGAAGAUAUACUGAUCUUCAGGUAGACAGUGAGGAAGGAAGAACUCAGCUUGCCUUUAUUUUUCUGGGUCAAGCACAGGAGGAUAUUAGGAAAAAGCUACAGAAACUGGAAGGUGAAGAGUUAAGAAACUUGGAUAAACUCCUGGAGGUUGCCUGGAAAGUUUAUAAUAGGGACAGAGAAGUUGCCAAGAAACAGGGGCAAAGCCUUUUGGCAGUUUUACAGAGACAGGGGCGAGGACGUGGUAGAGGAGGUUGUGGCGGUAAUAGAGGUGGCUUUGGCAGAGGUUCUGGUUGGGGGGGGGCUAGGUCUGAACCAGUGUGCGUAUUGUCGAAUGGAGGGACACUGGAAAAGGGAGCGUCCGAGUUGGUUUAGCCAGAAUGGUCAGCCUCAGUUAGACAGCAUGUUUAAUCAGAGUGGUGAGCCUCAGUUGGAUGGUGUAGCCAGGGUCAUGGUCUUACAUGAAAGGGAGCCAGGAUCAAGAGAGCCCACGGUGACUUUGCAUUUAGAAGGAAAAGACGUAGAUUUUCUCAUUGACACGGGAGCAACACUUUCUGUAUUAAAUUACCUUGAGGGGCAAGUCAGGAACAAGUCAGCAGCAGUCAUUGGAGCCACAGGGAAGGAGGACAUACGGCCAUUCCUGCAACCCCUAGAUUUGAGCUUUGAAGAUUAGAUCUUGACCCAUGAAUUCUUAUACAUGCCAGAUUGCCCAACUCCGCUCUUAGGGCGCGAUCUACUGGCAGCACUGGAGGCAGUAAUUACUUUUGAGAAUGGUGAACUUGUAUUGAGAAUACCUGAGUCUAAGACAGGAAGGAUUUUGAUGAUAAAAGAAAAACCAAUUUCUAAUAUUCCUAAGGAAGUAGAGGAUGCAGUAAUUCCCUCUGUCUGGGAAACAGAUGUACCUGGAAAAUUCUAAGUUAGCACAACCGGUACAUGUAGAGUUAAAAGAAGGAGCAAAGGCUGUACGAAUCAAACAAUACCCUAUAAAACCAGAAGCACGACAGGGAAUAGCAAAGACCAUUGAUAAAUUAUUAAAACAUCGAAUUCUAGAGGAAUGUGAAUCAGAAUACAACACCCCAAUAUUCCCAGUAAAGAAACCCAAUGGUGAGUAUAGACUUGUACAGGAUUUAAGAGGCAUAAAUGAAAUAACCAAAGACACUCAUCCAGUGGUUGCCAAUCCCUAUACAUUGUUAGCAUCCGUAAAAGAGAUAUAUAAAUGGUUUACUGUAAUUGACUUAAAAGAUGCCUUUUUCUGCAUACCCCUUGACCAAGAAAGUAGGAAACUAUUUGCCUUUGAGUGGGAACAUCCAGAAAAUGGAAGAAAAACCCAGCUCACCUAGACCCGACUUCCAAUGGGGUACAAGAACUCACCCACCUUAUUUGGGAGUCAACUGGCAAAGGAACUGGAAAUCUGGACCAGAGAAGGGCAAGUACCGAGAGACCAAUAUCUAUUACUCCAGUAUGUAGAUGACAUUUUGAUUGCAACAGAGGAAGAAAUGACCUGCAUAAAAGUAACCAUUGAGAUUUUAAAUUCAUUAGGAAUGGGAGGGUAUAAAGUGUCCAGAGAAAAGGCACAGAUUUCCCAACAGACUGUGAUUUACCUGGGAUGUGAAAUCUCACAAGGGCAGAGAAAACUGGGUACUAAUUGUAUUCAAGCUAUCUAUGCUAUUCCAGAGCCCCAGAAUCUACACGAGCUGCGGAUCUUCCUUGGAAUGACAAGGUGGUGUCGCUUGUGGAUCAAGGACUAUGGACUGAUUGCAAAACCCUUGUAUGAAGCUCAGAAGGCGCAGCCAUUCACCUGGGGCAAACCACAGAAAGAAGCCUUCCAGAAGUUAAAAGAAGCAUUGACAACUGCUCCUGCUUUGGGGUUACCUGAUCUGUCUAAAGACUUUCAGCUGUACGUGCAUGAAAGGCAGCAACUGGCACUGGGAGUCCUGACCCAAUGACUGGGAAGCUGGAAAAGGCCGGUGGGUUACUUUUCCAAACAACUUGACAACGUAAGUGCCGGAUGGCCUUUAUGUCUGUGGGCAGUGGCAGCUACUGUGCUGCUGAUACAGGAAGCCAGGAAGCUCAUGAUGGGAAGACACAUAGAUGUCUAUGUGCCACACAUGGUAACUACAGUCCUGGAACAAAAGAGGGGCCAUUGGCUCUCUCCAAGCCGGAUGAUGAAAUUUCAGGUAACCCUGACUGAGCAGGAUGACGUUGCACUAAAAACAACUAACCUCUUGAAUCCAGCUCUGUUUCUAGGUGCCACAGGUGAGGAAGGUCCAUUAGAGCAUGACUGUCUAGAAGUAAUCGAGCACACCUAUUCAGCAAGAACAGAUUUGAAGGAUGUCCCCCUGGAGCAACCAGAGUGGGAACUCUUUACAGAUGGAAGCAGCUUAAUGGAAAACGGAACCAGAUACGCAAGAUAUGCAGUAACUACAAUUGAUGUAGUAAUAGAGGCAAAAGCACUACCACCUAAUACAUCUGCACAAAGGGCAGAACUAAUCACAUUAGCCAGAGCACUAGAGCUGAGGAGAAAACAGUAAAUAUAUAGACUGACUCCAAAUAUGCCUUCGGAGUAGUGCAUGUACACGGAGCUUUAUGGAAAGAAAGAGGACUGCUGUCCUCCCAAGGUACAAAUAUUAAACAUCAAGAUGCGGUCCUACAACUGAUAGAUGCAGUACAAAAACCUGAACAAGUAGCAAUUAUGCACUGCAAAGCACAUCAAUCAGGCAACUCCAAAAUUUGUGAAGGAAAUCGAAGAGCAGA